rnacentral:rRNA from 1 species
GUUAGUGGCGCACGGGUGCGUAACGCGUGGGAAUCUGCCCCUUGCUUCGGAAUAACAGUUAGAAAUGACUGCUAAUACCGGAUGAUGACUUCGGUCCAAAGAUUUAUCGGCAAGGGAUGAGCCCGCGUAGGAUUAGCUAGUUGGCGGGGUAAAGGCCCACCAAGGCGACGAUCCGUAGCUGGUCUGAGAGGAUGAUCAGCCACACUGGAACUGAGACACGGUCCAGACUCCUACGGGAGGCAGCAGUGGGGAAUAUUGGACAAUGGGCGCAAGCCUGAUCCAGCCAUACCGCGUGGGUGAAGAAGGCCUUCGGGUUGUAAAGCCCUUUUGUUGGGAAAGAAAUCCAGCUGGCUAAUACCCGGUUGGGAUGACGGUACCCAAAGAAUAAGCACCGGCUAACUUCGUGCCAGCAGCCGCGGUAAUACGAAGGGUGCAAGCGUUACUCGGAAUUACUGGGCGUAAAGCGUGCGUAGGUGG